rnacentral:rRNA from 1 species
GAUGAACGCUGGCGGCGUGCCUAAUACAUGCAAGUCGAGCGAACAGAUAAGGAGCUUGCUCCUUUGACGUUAGCGGCGGACGGGUGAGUAACACGUGGGUAACCUACCUAUAAGACUGGGAUAACUUCGGGAAACCGGAGCUAAUACCGGAUAACAUUUGGAACCGCAUGGUUCUAAAGUGAAAGAUGGUUUUGCUAUCACUUAUAGAUGGACCCGCGCCGUAUUAGCUAGUUGGUAAGGUAACGGCUUACCAAGGCGACGAUACGUAGCCGACCUGAGAGGGUGAUCGGCCACACUGGAACUGAGACACGGUCCAGACUCCUACGGGAGGCAGCAGUAGGGAAUCUUCCGCAAUGGGCGAAAGCCUGACGGAGCAACGCCGCGUGAGUGAUGAAGGGUUUCGGCUCGUAAAACUCUGUUAUUAGGGAAGAACAAAUGUGUAAGUAACUGUGCACGUCUUGACGGUACCUAACCAGAAAGCCACGGCUAACUACGUG